CAAUUUAAUAUUUGCAUGCCAUAGACAGCAGGUGCCGUAAAAAGCGUAAAUGACUUAGGUCGCCCUGCCGAGGUAGGAAUUGUUUCUUAAGAAACCAUACCCCUUGCAUGUCUUUGUGUGCAAGGGGUUUUUUAGCUUUAGCG
rfam:Clostridiales bacterium GWC2_40_7 gwc2_scaffold_11798, whole genome shotgun sequence.